GAUGAACGCUGACAGAAUGCUUAACACAUGCAAGUCGAUGGGGAAGUGGUGCUUGCACCAUGGUAACCAUGGCGGACGGGUGAGUAACGCGUAAGGAACUUACCUGCGGGACCGGGAUAACAGCAGGAAACUGCUGACAAGACCGGAUAAGGUCAUUAAGCUGCAUAGCUUAGUGAUGAAAGGAGACGCCUGCGGAGAGCCUUGCGUCCUAUUAGCUAGUUGGAGGGGUAACGGCCCACCAAGGCGAAGAUAGGUAGCCGGCCUGAGAGGGUGGACGGCCACAAGGGGACUGAGAUACGGCCCUUACUCCUACGGGAGGAGGCAGUGGGGAAUAUUGGACGAUGGGGGCAACCCUGAUCCAGCAAUUCUGUGUGCACGAAGACGGUUUUCGGAUUGUAAAGUGCUUUCAGCAGGGAAGAAGGGAGUGACGGUACCUGCAGAAGAAGCGACGGCUAAAUACGUG
rnacentral:rRNA from 1 species